CUACGGGGGGCUGCAGGCGCGAAACCUUUACAAUGCACGAAAGUGCGAUAAGGGGAUCCCAAGUGCUUAUACUUUGUAUAGGCUUUUGCCAAGUGUAAAUAACUUGGCGAAUAAGUGGUGGGCAAGACUGGUGCCAGCCGCCGCGGUAAUCCCAGCGCCACGAGUAGCAACCAUAUUUAUUGGGCCUAAAGCGUCCGUAGCAGGUUUUGUAAAUCGCCUGGGAAAUCGUUGUGCUCAACAUAACGACGUGCAAGAGACACUGCAAGACUAGAGACCGGGAGGCGUCGAGGGUAUUCCAGGGGGAGCGGUAAAAUGUUAUAAUCCCUGGAGGACCACCUGUGGCGAAGGCGCUCGACGAGAACGGAUCUGACUGUGAGGGACGAAAGCCAGGGGAGCAAUCCGGAUUAGAUACCCCUGUAGUC
rnacentral:rRNA from 1 species